GUGCUCACUUCGGCAGCACAUAGACUAAAAUUGGAACGAUACAGAGACGAUUCGCGUGGCCCCUGUGCAAGGAGGACACGCAGAUUCGUGAAGGUUCCGUGUUUUUA